rnacentral:rRNA from 1 species
AACGAACGCUGGCGGCAUGCCUAACACAUGCAAGUCGAACGAUACCAUCCGGUCGAGUGGCGCCCGGGUGCGUACGGCGUGGUAACCUGCCCUUAGGUUCGGAAUAACUCCCCGAAAGGGGUGCUAAUACCGGAUAAUGUCUUAGGACAUAAGAUUUAUCGCCCUUGGAUGGGCCCGCGUUGGAUUAGCUAGUUGGUAGUGUAACAGCCUACCACGGCGACGAUACAUAGCUGGUCUGAGAGGAAGGGCAGCGACACUGGGACUGGGACACGGUCCAGACUCUUACGGGAGGGGGGAGUGGGUAAUAUAGGACAACGGGCGAAAGCCUGAUGCAGCAAUGCUGGGUGAGUGAUGUAGUACUGAGGGUUGUAAAGCUCGUUUAUCCGGGAUGAUAAUGACAGUACCGUGAGAAUAAGCACCGGCUAACUACGUG